rnacentral:lncRNA from 1 species
AUUCAUUAAAUUAAAAAUCAAACCCCCUCUACGAUGUAUUAUUUAUACGAGGUUUUUUAAAAAUCUUACAAACUGUACCAUCAAAACAUCCCUUAACAGAAUUUAAUCAACACCUUACAGAACGGACAAAUUAAAACAGCAGUCGUACAAUUGCUGUGCAGCCCGAAUGCCAGCAGAUUAACUUUAAUUAGUGCCUUUCCCAUCAAUCCUGAAAAGAAAAAUGUUAGUUUUUCCAAUUCACAUGAUUACACGUAGCACUCUACAGAAUUUACAGGUGGCCCUAUGCACUUUUGGGUGGUCUAUUAUAAUCAGCUCCUUUUAGAGAGAGAUUGUAGGCUUCUAGUAUAUAUUAGUUUUGCCACCUUUAUUUUAUAUUCUUAUUUUA